UUUACUUUUCUUCUGGUUGCCGGUGGUUGAGCACCUCGAUAUUUUUGUGAUCCGAUUUUUGGGAUUUUAGGAGCUCACCACAGUUCCACAGGGCUUUAUUUUGCUGGUUUUACUUGGGUACCUUUAUAGCCCUAUGAAUAAACGCUUUACGGGAUUUGUCUCGCAAAUAUACCAGAGGACAUGUCAGGAGGCCUGCUAAGGUUCUUAUAGUUCUGAGACAGUCAAAGACCGGCGCAGACACUACAGAAUUUAUUUUUAUUAUUUUUUUUUUUUUUGGUUUUAUGUUCGUUGUUUCAUAAUAAUUUAUUAUGAUGGCAGCUCACUAUAACAGUCUUCCUCUUGAGUUUUUUUUUCUUGUUACCUCUUAAAACGAUCCAUUUACACCUGCAAGCUGCUGUAUGACCUUGCAGCCAAUGACGAAGCAAGUGGUAUUGUAAUAGUUUUAGUUAUUUUCUUUUUAUUAUAAGUUGUAACAUUUAA